AUUGAAGAAGAAGAAAAAACAAA
rnacentral:sRNA from 1 species